rnacentral:rRNA from 1 species
AAAUUGAAGAGUUUGAUCAUGGCUCAGAUUGAACGCUGGCGGCAGGCCUAACACAUGCAAGUCGAGCGGUAGCACAGAGCUUGCUCUCGGGUGACGAGCGGCGGACGGGUGAGUAAUGUCUGGGAAACUGCCUGAUGGAGGGGGAUAACUACUGGAAACGGUAGCUAAUACCGCAUAAUGUCGCAAGACCAAAGUGGGGGACCUUCGGGCCUCAUGCCAUCAGAUGUGCCCAGAUGGGAUUAGCUUGUAGGUGGGGUAACGGCUCACCUAGGCGACGAUCCCUAGCUGGUCUGAGAGGAUGACCAGCCACACUGGAACUGAGACACGGUCCAGACUCCUACGGGAGGCAGCAGUGGGGAAUAUUGCACAAUGGGCGCAAGCCUGAUGCAGCCAUGCCGCGUGUGUGAAGAAGGCCUUCGGGUUGUAAAGCACUUUCAGCGGGGAGGAAGGCGGUGAGGUUAAUAACCUCAUCGAUUGACGUUACCCGCAGAAGAAGCACCGGCUAACUCCGUGCCAGCAGCCGCGGUAAUACGGAGGGUGCAAGCGUUAAUCGGAAUUACUGGGCGUAAAGCGCACGCAGGCGGUCUGUCAAGUCGGAUGUGAAAUCCCCGGGCUCAACCUGGGAACUGCAUUCGAAACUGGCAGGCUAGAGUCUUGUAGAGGGGGGUAGAAUUCCAGGUGUAGCGGUGAAAUGCGUAGAGAUCUGGAGGAAUACCGGUGGCGAAGGCGGCCCCCUGGACAAAGACUGACGCUCAGGUGCGAAAGCGUGGGGAGCAAACAGGAUUAGAUACCCUGGUAGUCCACGCCGUAAACGAUGUCGAUUUGGAGGUUGUGCCCUUGAGGCGUGGCUUCCGGAGCUAACGCGUUAAAUCGACCGCCUGGGGAGUACGGCCGCAAGGUUAAAACUCAAAUGAAUUGACGGGGGCCCGCACAAGCGGUGGAGCAUGUGGUUUAAUUCGAUGCAACGCGAAGAACCUUACCUGGUCUUGACAUCCACAGAACUUAGCAGAGAUGCUUUGGUGCCUUCGGGAACUGUGAGACAGGUGCUGCAUGGCUGUCGUCAGCUCGUGUUGUGAAAUGUUGGGUUAAGUCCCGCAACGAGCGCAACCCUUAUCCUUUGUUGCCAGCGGUCCGGCCGGGAACUCAAAGGAGACUGCCAGUGAUAAACUGGAGGAAGGUGGGGAUGACGUCAAGUCAUCAUGGCCCUUACGACCAGGGCUACACACGUGCUACAAUGGCAUAUACAAAGAGAAGCGACCUCGCGAGAGCAAGCGGACCUCAUAAAGUAUGUCGUAGUCCGGAUUGGAGUCUGCAACUCGACUCCAUGAAGUCGGAAUCGCUAGUAAUCGUAGAUCAGAAUGCUACGGUGAAUACGUUCCCGGGCCUUGUACACACCGCCCGUCACACCAUGGGAGUGGGUUGCAAAAGAAGUAGGUAGCUUAACCUUCGGGAGGGCGCUUACCACUUUGUGAUUCAUGACUGGGGUGAAGUCGUAACAAGGUAACCGUAGGGGAACCUGCGGUUGGAUCACCUCCUUACCUUAAAGAA